CCUACGGGUGGCAGCAGUGAGGAAUAUUGGUCAAUGGACGAGAGUCUGAACCAGCCAAGUAGCGUGAAGGAUGACUGCCCUAUGGGUUGUAAACUUCUUUUAUAUGGGAAUAAAACGUUCCACGUGUGGGAUUUUGUAUGUACCAUAUGAAUAAGGAUCGGCUACCUCCGUGCCAGCAGCCGCGGUAAUACGGAGGAUCCGAGCGUUAUCCGGAUUUAUUGGGUUUAAAGGGAGCGUAGGUGGAUUGUUAAGUCAGUUGUGAAAGUUUGCGGCUCAACCGUAAAAUUGCAGUUGAAACUGGCAGUCUUGAGUACAGUAGAGGUGGGCGGAAUUCGUGGGGUAGCGGUGAAAUGCUUAGAUAUCACGAAGAACUCCGAGUGCGAAGGCAGUUCACUGGACUGCAACUGACACUGAGGCUCGAAAGUGUGGGUAUCAAACAGGAUUAGAUACCCGGGUAGUC
rnacentral:rRNA from 1 species